rnacentral:rRNA from 1 species
CCCUUAGAUGUCCUGGGCCGCACGCGCGUUACACUGAUGCAUUCAACGAGCUUAUAACCUUGGCCGAGAGGCCUGGGCAAUCUUGUUAACGUGCAUCGUGAUAGGGAUAGAUUAUUGAAAUUAUUAAUCUUGAUCGAGGAAUUCCUAGUAAACGCAGAUCAUCAAUCUGCAUUGAUUACGUCCCUGCCCUUUGUACACACCGCCCGUCGCACCUACCGAUUGGAUGGUCCGGUGAAGCCUCGGGAUUGUGGUUCUUGCCGCUUUAUUGUGGCGUGACCGCGAGAACUUGUCUAAACCUUAUCAUCUAGAGGAAGGUGAAGUCGUAACA